rnacentral:rRNA from 1 species
UACGGAGGGUGCAAGCGUUAUCCGGAUUCACUGGGUUUAAAGGGUGCGUAGGUGGGCAGGUAAGUCAGUGGUGAAAUCUCCGGGCUUAAUUCGGAAACUGCCAUUGAUACUGCGGUGCUUGAGGACUGGAGAGGAGACUGGAAUUCACGGUGUAGCAGUGAAAUGCGUAGAUAUCGUGAGGAAGACCAGUGGCGAAGGCGGGUCUCUGGACAGUUCCUGACACUGAGGCACGAAGGCCAGGGGAGCAAACGGG